rnacentral:tRNA from 1 species
GGAGGGGUGGCUGAGCGGUCUAAAGCAACGGUCCUGAAAACCGUCACAUCGCAAGAUGUCGUGAGUUCGAAUCUCACCCCCUCCG